rnacentral:lncRNA from 1 species
AUAUAUAUAUAUAUAUAUAUAUAUAUAUAUAUAUAUAUAAUUUAUUUUUAAAACUAUAUUACAGAUUUGUAAACUAUAUUUGAAGAUUAUUUUUGGAAAUCAUAUGUAAGUGCAAAAAUUGUAUUAUUAGUCUAUAAAACUAUACAAAUUAUGAAAUUACAAUAAAUGUUGUCUUUAUAUUUAUUCUUAUAAAUUUACAAAUUGAAGACCUUAAUAAUUAUAAAAGAACAAACGAAAUAAAAAUCGAUAUAUAAAAUAUUUAAAAAGCACACAGUAAACCCGAUGGAUAAAUCUCAUAUGCUCUCCAACUCGAUCACUGAUGGGUCACACAUACCCUAAAUUAGAUAGAUCUCUGUCUAUUUUAGAUUGUUCCUUUUAUUCGUAAUCAAAGAUAUUUUCUUGUCUCUCCUUUAUGGUUGUUCGACUUCUUGUCUGUUCGCAUUUCCUAGACCCAAGACCUACUAAUAUUAUAAUAUUGCAUGGAUAAUGGAUAGCACAAUUCGGAGUAGAAGAUAACCAACAAUGAGUUCCAUUUGGUUGUAAGUCAUAAAAAUCCCUGACUAGGCUACUUAAAUUGUCCGCAUUUACAACGCAAACAACCUGGCGUUAUCACCAUUAGGAAAAACUAUUAAGUCGUAUACGAAAACCCCACAUGCACCUUUCACCCCUCGAAAAAUACCAUUAGAGGUUCUUGGUCUAUCUCCGAAUGUGGGCCUAGAAGCAUUAGCAAGCCAGGCGCCCAACGCCUAGCUCCACUAGGGAGGCCUUGCCUGAUCUGAGAAGUGCUAAUUUGGUUUGUCUUCAUGUGACAGAUAUCGAAAAAGUAGUCCGUUGAACUAUCGUCGAUGCUUAUUCGAAAAUAAUGAAUGCGACACAGUUAUCUACUCCAAGAGUCGCCACAGCUUCGCCUACGCGGAUGAUCUGGGAUAGCAAGCAAGUUUAUUAAAAGAGGAANGAAAGAGGAGCAAUAGAUUCUAGAUCUGUUUCCCCACAGUUGAAAACCAUGAUACAAAUCAGCGGUAGUUCAAAAUNAGCAAUAGAUUCUAGAUCUGUUUCCCCACAGUUGAAAACUAUGAAACAAAUCAGCGGUAGUUCAAAACUGGAAUUGGCACAAGGAAAGCGUUCAUCACAGACAACUUCGUAAUUACAACACGGUAUCUUCUCCUUAGCGUAAAGCACCCCCUUGGGUUCAUCCAAAAUCGAUCUCUAAAAGCGCGGCUCGCGAGGCAUCCCUCUCACAGUAGAGUUUCAAACCUCACCUCGCUCUUGUGACAUGCUAUGUUUCCCCUCAACUCUUCCCAAGGUAGUUCCUAAUGUUUGGCACUUUCCAAUUUAUUGAUUUGGAAGAUCGCGACACCUAUUUUUUUUUUAUUCGGAUCCGAUCUCUGUUGGACUCGUUGAGGAAGAAAUCUAAGAGAAGACACUCU